rnacentral:rRNA from 1 species
UACAGAGGUCUCAAGCGUUGUUCGGAUUCAUUGGGCGUAAAGGGUGCGUAGGCGGCGUGGUAAGUCGGAUGUGAAAUCUCGGAGCUUAACUCCGAAACUGCAUUCGAUACUGCCGUGCUUGAGGACUGGAGAGGAGACUGGAAUUUACGGUGUAGCGGUGAAAUGCGUAGAUAUCGAGAGGAACACCUGCGGCGAAGGCGGGUUGCUGGGCCGACACUGACGCUGAGGCACGAAAGCGUGGGGAGCAAACAGG